AUUGAACGCUGGCGGCGUGCUUAACACAUGCAAGUCGUGCGGUAACAGGCGUAGCAAUACGUGCUGACGAGCGGCGAACGGGUGCGUAAUACAUGGGAAUCUGCCUUUUAGUGGGGAAUAACCCGGCGAAAGCCGGGCUAAUGCCGCAUAAGAUCUUCGGAUGAAAGCGGGGGAUCGUAAGACCUCGCGCUUGAUGAGGGGCCCGCGUCUGAUUAGCUAGUUGGGAGGUAACGGCCCACCAAGGCAACGAUCAGUAUCCGGCCUGAGAGGGCGGACGGACACACUGGGACUGAGACACGGCCCAGACUCCUACGGGAGGCAGCAGUGGGGAAUUGUUCGCAAUGGGCGCAAGCCUGACGACGCAACGCCGCGUGGAGGAUGAAGGUCUUCGGAUUGUAAACUCCUGUUGCCCGGGACGAAUGGCUCCGACCUAACACGUCGGAGUGUGACGGUACCGGGUGAGGAAGCCCGGCUAACUCUGUGCCAGCAGCCGCCGUAAC
rnacentral:rRNA from 1 species